UUUAUUGGAGAGUUUGAUCCUGGCUCAGGAUGAACGCUGGCGGCGUGCCUAAUACAUGCAAGUCGAGCGAACGGAUUGAGAGCUUGCUCUCAAGAAGUUAGCGGCGGACGGGUGAGUAACACGUGGGUAACCUGCCCAUAAGACUGGGAUAACUCCGGGAAACCGGGGCUAAUACCGGAUAACAUUUUGAACUGCAUGGUUCGAAAUUGAAAGGCGGCUUCGGCUGUCACUUAUGGAUGGACCCGCGUCGCAUUAGCUAGUUGGUGAGGUAACGGCUCACCAAGGCAACGAUGCGUAGCCGACCUGAGAGGGUGAUCGGCCACACUGGGACUGAGACACGGCCCAGACUCCUACGGGAGGCAGCAGUAGGGAAUCUUCCGCAAUGGACGAAAGUCUGACGGAGCAACGCCGCGUGAGUGAUGAAGGCUUUCGGGUCGUAAAACUCUGUUGUUAGGGAAGAACAAGUGCUAGUUGAAUAAGCUGGCACCUUGACGGUACCUAACCAGAAAGCCACGGCUAACUACGUGCCAGCAGCCGCGGUAAUACGUAGGUGGCAAGCGUUAUCCGGAAUUAUGGGCGUA
rnacentral:rRNA from 1 species